GACUUGGGGUUGGGGAAGAGACCGUGGUCCAGGGCUGCUUGGUUGCGGACAGCGCGGUCCCAGUGGCGAGAGAGCUUGCUGAUCUCCAGCUUGACAUCGUUGACAGUGGCGUCGAUCGUGGGGCGCCAAUCCUUGAAUGCCUUGGCGGACGGCUCCAGUUUGACGAUGCGGUCACCGUGAAGACGCUCAGCUUCCUGGAAAUGCUGCUCCCACUUGAGGUCGCUCU
rnacentral:lncRNA from 1 species